GAUGAAGAACGUAGCGAAAUGCGAUACGUAAUGUGAAUUGCAGAUUUCAGUGAAUCAUCGAAUCUUUGAACGCACAUUGCGCCCGCUAGUAUUCUGGCGGGCAUGCCUGUUCGAGCGUCAUUUCAACCAUCAAGCCCUAGGCUUGCGUUGGAGCCCUGCGGCUGCCGCAGGCUCCCAAAUCCAGUGGCGGGCUCGUCGUCGUACCGAGAGCAGUAAACAUCCUCGCUCAGGGAACGUGACGGGUUCUUGCCGUGAAACCCCCCACAUAUCAAGGUUGACCUCGGAUCAGGUAGGAAUACCCGCUGAACUUAAGCAUAUCAGUAAGCGGAGGA
rnacentral:misc_RNA from 1 species